CAUAAUUGCUGCUCAGGUACUAAAUUCAGAGCUAGUCUCCUUAUGCAAUACUAUUCCAAUCUCUUGUUUUACCCUUUGUCAAAGGAGAAACCUGGAGGAGUAACGUGAUGCUUGCAUAUUUAAUUUUCUAAAAGAAAGUUACUGACGGUUAACUAGUUACAGACUUACAGUGUGACCUGCAUUGGUUGUAAGUGAAGAACUCAAGAACACCUGAUCAACCUCAAACCUGUUCCCCAUAUUUAUAGUCAACAUCGUUAGAAUAGUCAUUUGAUUUCACGCACAAGUUUGUGAGAAACUGAAUAUAAACCAUUUUUAACACCUUUAGUUGUGGGUUGGAAAGGAAAAGAGAUGAAUGAGAGA
rnacentral:lncRNA from 1 species